ACUUACCAGGAUAGGAUGAUAUAAGGAUUGACAGAUUGAAGUUCUUUCUUGAUUUAUCAGGUGGUGGUGCAUGGCCGUUCUUAGUUGGUGGAGUGAUCUGUCUGGUUAAUUCCGUUAACGAACGAGACCUCGACCUGCUAAAUAGCGCGGCGCGCGCUUCGGCGCGCGACCCGCCGCUUCUUAGAGGGACUCUCGGUGCGUAGCCGAAGGAAGUUCGAGGCAAUAACAGGUCUGUGAUGCCCUUAGAUAUUCUGGGCCGCACGCGUGUUACACUGACGCAUUCAUCGAGCUUUUCACCUCGGCCGAGAGGCCCGGGUAAUCUCUUCAAAGUGCGUCGUGAUGGGGAUAGAUGAUUGGAAUUAUUCAUCUUCAACGAGGAAUGCCUAGUAAGCGCGAGUCAUCAGCUCGCAUUGAUUACGUCCCUGCCCUUUGUACAC
rnacentral:rRNA from 1 species